GAACGGGAUCUAGUAGACAGAAGCCUCGGCGGAAGAUUACUAAUGAGAGUGGCGAACGGGUGAGUAACGCGUGAGCAACCUGCCUAUGACAGUGGGAUAGCCUCGGGAAACCGGGAUUAAUACCGCAUAAAAUCGUAGAAACACAUGUUUCAACGGUCAAAGAUUUAUCGGUCAUAGAUGGGCUCGCGUCUGAUUAGCUAGUUGGUGAGAUAACAGCCCACCAAGGCGACGAUCAGUAGCCGGUCUGAGAGGAUGAACGGCCACAUUGGAACUGAGACACGGUCCAAACUCCUACGGGAGGCAGCAGUGGGGAAUAUUGCACAAUGGGGGAAACCCUGAUGCAGCGACGCCGCGUGAACGAAGAAGGUAUUCGUAUCGUAAAGUUCUGUCCUAUGGGAAGAUAAUGACAGUACCAUAGAAGAAAGCUCCGGCUAAAUACGUGCCAGCAGCCGCGGUAAUACGUAUGGAGCGAGCGUUGUCCGGAAUUAUUGGGCGUAAAGGGUACGCAGGCGGUUUAAUAAGUCGAAUGUUAAAGAUCGGGGCUCAACCCCGUAAAGCAUUGGAAACUGAUAAACUUGAGUAGUGGAGAGGAAAGUGGAAUUCCUAGUGUAGUGGUGAAAUACGUAGAUAUUAGGAGGAAUACCAGUAGCGAAGGCGACUUUCUGGACACAAACUGACGCUGAGGUACGAAAGCGUGGGGAGCAAACAGGAUUA
rnacentral:rRNA from 2 species